rnacentral:rRNA from 1 species
UACAGAGGUGGCAAGCGUUGUUCGGAAUUACUGGGCGUAAAGGGCGCGUAGGCGGCCCGUCAAGUCCCGUGUGAAAGCCCCCGGCUCAACCGGGGAACGGCGCGGGAAACUAGCAGGCUUGAGUUCGGGAGAGGGAAGCGGAAUUCCGGGUGUAGCGGUGAAAUGCGCAGAUACCCGGAGGAACACCGGUGGCGAAGGCGGCUUCCUGGACCGACACUGACGCUGAGGCGCGAAAGCUAGGGGAGCAAACGGG